rnacentral:rRNA from 1 species
AUACGACCAUACCCACAGGAAAACUCGGGAUCCCGUCCGCUCUCCCAUAGAUAAGCCUGUGAGGGCCGGAUUAGUAGUUGGGUCGGUGACGACCAGCGAAUACCUGGUGUUGUAUG